GUGUUCGGAUGUCGACGAUGGUUCUGUUCUGCCGCCGGUCAUCUCCAGCAAUCUACGAGAUAAAAUAACACCAGAGAACAUAUCAAUCACCGAGUUAGAACCAAAAAGCAAGUAUGGGCGAGACACAGCUGUCUCCGUCACAGUCGUCCCGCCCGUCCCGCCUGUCCCGCGCUAUCCGUUGACCGUCGCCUGGGCCCCGGAGAAGCUGUGCUUUAAUCUCGAUGAGGACAAAGCGGUUAAGCUAUUGAGGAUACAGAACAGCAACGCUCAUUCGAUCUACAUCCAAUGCUGCGGGCUCUGGGACAGCACGGCCCGCCUGGGAGCGAGCUGGCGGAGCUAUCCACGCAACAGGUUCUUGAUGGCACCAGGUCAGUGACA